GUGGGGAAUUUUGGACAAUGGGCGCAAGCCUGAUCCAGCAAUGCCGCGUGCAGGAAGAAGGCCUUCGGGUUGUAAACUGCUUUUGUACGGAACGAAACGGUCCUGGUUAAUACCUGGGGCUAAUGACGGUACCGUAAGAAUAAGCACCGGCUAACUACGUGCCAGCAGCCGCGGUAAUACGUAGGGUGCGAGCGUUAAUCGGAAUUACUGGGCGUAAAGCGUGCGCAGGCGGUGCUGUAAGACAGGCGUGAAAUCCCCGGGCUCAACCUGGGAAUUGCUCUGGGGACUGCAGUGCUGGAGUACGGCAGAGGGGGAUGGAAUUCCGCGUGUAGCAGUGAAAUGCGUAGAUAUGCGGAGGAACACCGAUGGCGAAGGCAGUCCCCUGGGCCUGUACUGACGCUCAUGCACGAAAGCGUGGGGAGCAAACAGGAUUAGAAACCCUUGUAGUCC
rnacentral:rRNA from 1 species